AAUUGAAUAGCUUAAAANUAAAGCMAAGUAUUGRAGAUACUAAGAUGAAAUUUAUUUCUUUAAUUA
rnacentral:tRNA from 1 species